GAAGAGUCAAAAUCCCUAAACAGUUGUCCCCAUCUCCCUAGUUGCAUCCCGCCGCCUCCUCCGCGUCCGGCGCCGCCGCACCCCAUCUUGUGCUUGACCCCAAUCCCGCCGCUGCCGCCCCACGCCUCCAGCGCCGUCUCCAUCCCCAUGGAGGGCCGCUCCCUUGCCGUCCAGCCACUCCUACGACGCCUCCCUCUCGUCGAGGGGCGCCUCCCUCGCCGUCCAGCGCCGCCCCCUCGCCGUCCAGCGGCUCCAGUGCCGCCUCCAUCCCGAUCGACGGGCGUCGCCCUCGCCGUCCAGCCACCCCAGCGCCGCCUCUCUCCCCGUUGACUGGGUCCUCCCUCGCCGUCCAGGUCUGCUUCCCUCGCCGUCUAGAUCUGAUUCCCACGCCGGCCAGCCGCCUCACCCUUCUGUCUCCCUCCCAGUCCAGCUCCUCCCACUACCGAGUCAAGUCUUGGCGAACUACAACCGACCUGAGGAGAGGAAGACCCAAAAAAAGAAAUCUGAGAGAAACAUAAAUUGGAAACUAGAGGAGUUCUGGGCAACUUUAUUAGUCUGAAUCCCUAGCUGAGAGUUCAGCAGUAGCCGCAAUGGGUCCGAGGCUAGCAUGUCAACUACCACGGCAAGGAAGGAGGCAACUUUCCCGCUACAUUCAUCCUCUAUAGUCUAUAAGAUUAAUAGAAUAUACACACGAUUUGGAAUGGCUGACAUUGUAGGAUAAAUUAGUUCUGUAUUAAUUUUGAGGCUCCCUUCUUAUCUUUUGUUUACAUUACAGUUUGAAACUCUGAAUGUAAUACACAUGCAACAAGGCUUAUUACCAAGAAACACGUGGAAUGUGAGGCGGCGGCGAAGCAUUAGCUAGCGCGGGUGCGUCACCUCUGUGGUAUUGUGGGCAAUCAUGGUUUUGGCAAGCUCACUGGAAUCAAGUGAGGGCAGUGAGAUAACGACGAAUGUGGCAGCGAGAAAUGAUGGUUCUCCUGAUCUUCCUUUCUAUGGAGCGCGACAUCGUAACCCAGACAAGUUCUUUCCAGAUUUAGAUAUAGCUCAACAUUAAAAUCGCAACUUCGUGAGAUUCUAAACCUGAAGGGAGAGCACUACGUAGCGUUCCUUUUUGAUAGUUCUCUUUGUCAUAUCUCAUUUGAUAGCUACAUCUAUGCCGGUGCUAAAUGCUUUUUACUUGGUUGCACUGCUGAAAUUGAGCUGAAUUACACUUCUACAACUUUGUAGCUAUAUGUGAGCCUCCCACUAAUUUUUUGACAGUUGCUUCGUUAGGUACACUCAUCAUUCAUGGUUUUUUAUUACCGUUUCUUAGCAUACAUGAUAUGCUUACCAACAGGUUCGUGGUACUACUGUCUUCGAACAUUUCAAAGCUUAAGACAUGGCAAACUGAUGAGUUGGAAAACUUUAUGAUGCUAUCACCAUAAUAGGUCCAUGUACUAAAACCCAGUGUAUAUAUAAUAGGUAUUUCCUGCUGACAAGUUAUUUUCUUUGUGAUUAUUAGGUUCCAAACCUGCUGUUUGAUGUUGCUGGUAUUAUGUUUGGUCAAUGGUAUACCUUCUGGGAGUUCUUAUGUGAAACUCUUUGAUUGGGAAGACCAGCAUCAAAGACUCGUAUUCAGGUGGAUGGAUCUUCCCAACCCUAAGAGCAUGCUGGUACUCUGUUUGGCAGCUUCUUCUCAUGCUGAGAAGACCAUGGUGCUACUCCGACCAAGGAGAAUCAUUUAGGAAUGUAUUUUCUGACUGUUCAGCUUCGUUUGUCUUUUAGAUGGGCUAAAUGGAGCAGCUCUUGUUCUUUUUAAGUUUUUGGGAACCAUGAGUUGGAAUAUCAUUUUGUGAACAAUUCAAGAUAUUACAAUGAAUGUGAUCUUAUUUA